UGGCUCAGAGAUUAAAGCGUCUGCCUGCAAUGCAGGAGACCUGGGUUCGAUCCCUG
rnacentral:tRNA from 1 species